AGGACGAACGCUGGCGGCGUGCUUAACACAUGCAAGUCGAACGGAAAGGCCCGCUUGCGGGUACUCGAGUGGCGAACGGGUGAGUAACACGUGGGCAACCUGCCCUCAGCUUCGGGAUAACACUUGGAAACAGGUGCUAAUACCGGAUAAUAACCUUUCAUCGCAUGGUGGUUGGUUCAAAGUUUUUCGGCUGAGGAUGGGCCCGCGGCCUAUCAGCUUGUUGGUGGGGUAAUGGCCUACCAAGGCGACGACGGGUAGCCGGCCUGAGAGGGCGACCGGCCACACUGGGACUGAGACACGGCCCAGACUCCUACGGGAGGCAGCAGUGGGGAAUAUUGCGCAAUGGGCGGAAGCCUGACGCAGCGACGCCGCGUGAGGGAUGACGGCCUUCGGGUUGUAAACCUCUUUCAGCUCUGACGAAGCGCAAGUGACGGUAGGAGCAGAAGAAGCACCGGCCAACUACGUGCCAGCAGCCGCGGUAA
rnacentral:rRNA from 1 species